CCUCACCUGCUCCCUUCCCCGCAUGAUCCUCCCUUCCCCUUUCUGCUUUAUCUCUGGACCACGCCCUCAUUUUCUCCUCGCACAUGCCUCUCUCGCCUCGCUGUUUUCUUCUACUGCAAGCCAAAACGGGAUAGGAGGAAAAUCCCCAUCGCCACCGUGCCUUCCUCACCGUCGCCUGGCCAGCUCCGACCACCCCUCGCCUCACCGACGCCACGUCGAGCUCCCCCUCGUCGUCCUCUUCAAUCCCCUGCAAGGAAUCGUCCUCGCGCGCGUUGAAUCGCCACCGUUCUCGCUGUUUUCUUCUCCGACCCCGGCAGACUUCUUCGCCGAUUCCGCCGCCGUCCGACGUCCUCCGCCUCCAUCAACCUCGCCAACGUCUUCCAGAUGCCCGUCUCCGACCAAGCUCAGGUGGCCCCCAAGUGUCGCGCCGCCCGUUUUGGGUUCACCACGGUGAGGCACGGCUCCUGCGCCCACUUCCCCGUCUCAGACCGGCCUCCCUCGUCGAGGCCACCAUCGAGCCCGCGCUUCCUCCGCCACAGACUCCGCCGGCUCCGCCUCUUCCUCGUCGACCCGAGCGCCCCCAAACCUACCUACCUCGCCACGAACCUCCCGCGUUUCAUCAGAUAAGUAGCAACAGCUGAUGGUUCGCCACGGUGGCAGCCAGCGUGGCGCGUGGGCCCCUUCGUCAGCGACCAGGGCUGGAUCCCCUCUCGCAUUUGCUUCUUCACGGAUAGAAUCACGAAGUGUUGAUGUGAGAUACGACGAGUUCUCCGACAAGUUCUGCUGCAGCUUUUCACAGGC